CUUCUCCACCUUUGGGAGUGAACAUCAUCUCACCAGUAGCAAGCUCAAAUGCUAUACAAGCCAAAGACCACAUGUCAGCAGAGAAUGAAUAUCCAGAUUGAAGUAUAACUUCAGGGGAUCUGUACUGUCUUGUUUGAAUUUCUUGUGCAAAUUGCUUAUCAUCCCAGCAUGCAUUUCCAAAAUCCACAAUCUUGCACCUUAAGUCUAUCCCAUCAAGAGAUCUAUUUGAUUUUGGAGUACCUCCUACCACACCCAUUGAAGAACGUCUUCCUGAUAUCCUAGCUGCUGCUCUUCUUGCCCUUUGCUUUAGCUUUUUCUCAAUGAUAUUCAUUGUUAUUCCUCCAUUAGGGUUCCCCUCAGGCCUUUCAAGUAUGGGAGUCAUUCCAGAUCUAAUGGGAUCUUUUGUGGCAUUAAUCGUGGAAAGUAAAAGAAUAUUUUCAGGUUUCAAAUCUGUAUGAACAAUUCCAAGCCCCCCAUGCAAAUAAUCUAAACCAGUCAAGACACAUUUGCAUAUUUC
rnacentral:misc_RNA from 1 species